CCUACGGGAGGCAGCAGUAGGGGAUAUUGCACAAUGGGGGAAACCCUGAAGCAGCAACGCCGCGUGGAGGAUGAAGGUUUUCGGAGUGUAAACCCCUUUUGUUAGAGAAGAUAAUGACGGUAUCUAACGAAUAAGCACCGGCUAACUCCGUGCCAGCAGCCGCGGUAAUACGGAGGGUGCAAGCGUUAUCCGGAAUCACUGGGCGUAAAGAGCGCGUAGGCGGGAAAGCAAGUCAGAUGUGAAAUCCUAUGGCUUAACCAUAGGACUGCAUUUGAAACUGUUAUUCUAGAGUAUGGGAGGGGUAGGUGGAAUUCUUGGUGUAGCGGUAAAAUCCGUAGAGAUUAAGAGGAAUACUGAUUGCGAAGGCGACCUGCUAGAACAUAACUGACGUUGAUGCGCGAAAGUGUGGGGAGCAAACAGGAUUAGAUACCCGUGUAGUC
rnacentral:rRNA from 1 species